rnacentral:lncRNA from 1 species
AUGGACACAUUUAAUAUAUAAAGAAGAGUAAUAGUACCACCAUUACAUUAAUGUUUUUAUAUUAAUCAAAUUUAGCUUUUAAAGAAAUAAUAUAUUAUAAUAUUGGAAAAUAACAGUUGUUUACCCAUAGUUGUAUAAUCCUUAAUUCCUUCAAGAUUACUUGCUCAAAAAACUCACAUAUAUAACCAACUUACACAGACCUUCUUUGUCACUUACUUAAACCCUCUUGUUUGCUUAAUCAUAUAGACUUUUUUUUAAUCCAGAAUCACCUUUUUCUCCCUUCUAUUAAAUCCAUACCUAGAACCUUCUAAUUUCUCUUUCCCAUCUUUAUUCACAUUUUGAAACAAUCCUUGUAAAUUUCCAAAUUUAGGUAAAUUAUUCCAUUUUGAUAAGAAAAAUUUUGUUAUUUAAAAUAUACAGCUAAUCACAUCUGUUUACCAUUUUAUGAAAACAUAAACAAUUUUUAAGUAUAUAGAAUUAUACUGUUGUAGGGAUGGACAGGGCAAGACACAUAAGAUAGCAGGGAAUAGUUUUAUUUGGCUGUAGCCAGAUUCAAAGGGCACAGCUUUUACUGCAAUCAAUUAAUCCCCUGAACCCCGAGUUCAGGUAGUUUCGGAAUUUUAUAUCCAGCAUGUAAGGGGAGGGGCUCAGAAGUUCAUAGUCUGCAGAAGUUCACAUAAAAGCAGUUUUUUUUUCUCUGUUCUGGGCAAGUUAACACUUCAAGGACACCU